GAAAGGCGGUGUGACUCUCUCAGAUUUAAUUAUACAGUGCCUUCAGAUCGUAUUCUUCUGCGUUGUUGCUCACCAUCUGACCUUUGGCAUGUGGUCGAUUUUGGUCAAAUUGAUGGAAGUCAUGCACGAUUUAGCAUUACGCUAUCGGGUAAGGGUGUGAAAAGGUUGUUCAUGACUCAACAGACACGGAAGUCGAGUUCCCCAUGCACGAUGACAGUUUGAGCGAAGCGGAUCCUCAAGAAGGCUUGCAAGAUUGUCAAAUGAGCAUCGAAGAACAUAGUCAAAUAGCACCAACGAGUAAUCAUGAGCUUCCCUCCCUCGAGGCAUGCGAACAAAGAUCAUGUAGACUUCUAAUUCGAUUGGCAGAGAUGAGUAUGGCAGUGUUUGCUCGCUGCUUUUGUUGUUAAGAGUGAUUGAGAAACUUGCUAAGGGAGCAAUUCAUAGGUAAACGUCGAACUCCAUUGACGCAACUUUCAGCAUCACGACUGCUCAUCUUCCAUCCGACACUAGUGAGCUCUGACGAAUGUAAGGUCGCCCCCUACCAACAAUGAACCGUAGAAGUUCGUCUUCCUCAAACAGAGUCCCUAGCGAACGGAUGUCAAUGGAGACCCGCGAGC